rnacentral:lncRNA from 1 species
UUUUAUCUAAAAAAAGGACUGAAUGCUUAUUGUAUCUUUUAGAUCUAUUUGAUUAAGUGUUAUGUAUCCCUUUUUUUCAUUCUGAGAAAUAUAUUUUACUUAUUUUUGAAUUACUACCAUUAAGUCAGAAGUGGCUGGUUAUAGUGGAAGUGAACUACGACAAUAUGCAAACUUCAUUGAAUAUUGGCAACACCAGGGUUUCGAAUCCUAGAAUAGCAAAUAUCGGGAG